rnacentral:rRNA from 1 species
UUUUAUGGAGAGUUUGAUCCUGGCUCAGGAUGAACGCUGGCGGCGUGCCUAAUACAUGCAAGUCGAGCGAACAGACGAGGAGCUUGCUCCUCUGACGUUAGCGGCGGACGGGUGAGUAACACGUGGAUAACCUACCUAUAAGACUGGGAUAACUUCGGGAAACCGGAGCUAAUACCGGAUAAUAUAUUGAACCGCAUGGUUCAAUAGUGAAAGACGGUUUUGCUGUCACUUAUAGAUGGAUCCGCGCCGCAUUAGCUAGUUGGUAAGGUAACGGCUUACCAAGGCAACGAUGCGUAGCCGACCUGAGAGGGUGAUCGGCCACACUGGAACUGAGACACGGUCCA